rnacentral:rRNA from 1 species
AUGCGGUAUGACGGUACCCUUUCGAAUAAGAGGUUGCUAACUCUGUGCCAGCAGCAGCGGUAAUACAGAGACCUCGAGCGUUAUCCGGAUUUACUGGGCGUAAAGCGUCUGUAGGGGGUUUGUUAAGUUCCAAGUAAAAUCUUAAGGCUCAACUUUAAGUUCGCUUGGAAAACUAAUAAACUGGAGUCCAGCAGAGGUGCAUGGAACUUGCGGUGUAGGAGUGAAAUCCGUUGAUAUCGCAAGGAACACCAAAGGCGAAGGCAUUGCACUGGGCUGGUACUGACCCUGAGAGACGAAAGCGUGGGGAGCAAAACGGAUUAGAUACCCGUGUAGUCCACGCCGUAAACGAUGGAUACUAGAUGUUCGGGGAUUCGACCCCCUGGGUGUCACAGCUAACGCGUUAAGUAUCCCGCCUGGGAAGUACGGCCGCAAGGCUAAAACUCAAAGGAAUAGACGGGGAUCCGCACAAGCGGUGGAGCGUCUGGUUUAAUUUGAUAGUAAGCAAUGGACCUCACCAAGGUUUGACAUCCUAUGACAACCCUGGAAACAGGGCUUCCUUCGGGCAUAGUGACAGGUGCUGCAUGGUCGUCGUCAGUUCGUGCCGUGAGGUGUUCCGUUAAGUCGGGAAACGAACGAAACCCUCGUCGCAUGUUACAAAUUUCAUGCGAGACUGCCCGGGUCAACCGGGAGGAAGGCGGGGAUGACGUCAGAUCAGCAUGGCCCUUAUACCUUGGGCUACACAGGCGCUACAAUGGCCGGUACAAAGGGUUGCAAAACCGCGAGGUGAAGCUAAUCCCAUAAAGCCGGUCCAAGUUCGGAUUGGAGGCUGCAACUCGCCUCCAUGAAGUUGGAAUCGCUAGUAAUCGUGGAUCAGCCAUACCACGGUGAAUACGUUCCCGGAUCUUGUACUCACCGCCCGUCACACCAAGAGAGUUGGUAGCUCCUGAAGC